CCUACGGGUGGCAGCAGUGAGGAAUAUUGGUCAAUGGCCGUAAGGCUGAACCAGCCAAGUAGCGUGAGGGAAGACUGCCCUAUGGGUUGUAAACAUCUUUUAUGCGGGGACAAAGGUGUCCACGCGUGGAUGUUUGCAGGUACCGCAUGAAUAAGGACCGGCUAAUUCCGUGCCAGCAGCCGCGGUAAUACGGAAGGUCCGGGCGUUAUCCGGAUUUAUUGGGUUUAAAGGGAGCGUAGGCCGGUCUUUAAGUGUGCCGUUAAAUUUCGUGGCUCAACCAUGGGAGUGCGGCGCAAACUGGCAGCCUUGAGUGCGCGGAAGGCAGGCGGAAUGCGUGGUGUAGCGGUGAAAUGCUUAGAUAUCACGAAGAACCCCGAUUGCGAAGGCAGCAUGCCGCAGCGUUACUGACGCUGAGGCUCGAAAGCGCGGGUAUCGAACAGGAUUAGAUACCCGUGUAGUC
rnacentral:rRNA from 1 species